UGAACCUGCGGAAGGAUCAUUACCGAGUGAGGGCCCUCUGGGUCCAACCUCCCACCCAUGUUUAUUGUACCUUGUUGCUUCGGCGGGCCCGCCUCACGGCCGCCGGGGGGCUUCUGCCCUCUGGCCCGCGCCCGCCGAAGACACCAUUGAACACUGUCUGAAGAUUGCAGUCUGAGCAAUUAGCUAAAUAAGUUAAAACUUUCAACAACGGAUCUCUUGGUUCCGGCAUCGAUGAAGAACGCAGCGAAAUGCGAUACGUAAUGUGAAUUGCAGAAUUCAGUGAAUCAUCGAGUCUUUGAACGCACAUUGCGCCCCUUGGUAUUCCGGGGGGCAUGCCUGUCCGAGCGUCAUUGCUGCCCUCAAGCACGGCUUGUGUGUUGGGCCCCGUCCUCCUUCCCGGGGGACGGGCCCGAAAGGCAGCGGCGGCACCGCGUCCGGUCCUCGAGCGUAUGGGGCUUUGUCACCCGCUCUUGUAGGCCCGGCCGGCGCUUGCCGACAACCAUCAAUCUUUUUUCAGGUUGACCUCGGAUCAGGUAGGGAUACCCGCUGAACUUAAGCA
rnacentral:rRNA from 1 species